UGUGCCAGCAGCCGCGGUGAUACAGAGGGUGCAAGCGUUAAUCGGAAUUACUGGGCGUAAAGCGAGCGUAGGUGGCUUGAUAAGUCAGAUGUGAAAGCCCCGGGCUUAACCUGGGAACGGCAUCUGAUACUGUUAGGCUAGAGUAGGUGAGAGGAAGGUAGAAUUCCAGGUGUAGCGGUGAAAUGCGUAGAGAUCUGGAGGAAUACCGAUGGCGAAGGCAGCCUUCUGGCAUCAUACUGACACUGAGGUUCGAAAGCGUGGGUAGCAAACAGGAUUAGAUACCCUGGUAGUCCACGCCGUAAACGAUGUCUACUAGUCGUUGGGUCCCUUGAGGACUUAGUGACGCAGCUAACGCAAUAAGUAGACCGCCUGGGGAGUACGGCCGCAAGGUUAAAACUCAAAUGAAUUGACGGGGGCCCGCACAAGCGGUGGAGCAUGUGGUUUAAUUCGAUGCAACGCGAAGAACCUUACCUGGUCUUGACAUAUCUAGAAUCCUGCAGAGAUGCGGGAGUGCCUUCGGGAAUUAGAAUACAGGUGCUGCAUGGCUGUCGUCAGCUCGUGUCGUGAGAUGUUGGGUUAAGUCCCGCAACGAGCGCAACCCUUGUCCUUAGUUACCAGCGGUUUGGCCGGGAACUCUAAGGAUACUGCCAGUGACAAACUGGAGGAAGGCGGAGACGACGUCAAGUCAUCAUGGCCCUUACGACCAGGGCUACACACGUGCUACAAUGGUAGGUACAGAGGGCAGCUACACAGCGAUGUGAUGCGAAUCUCAAAAAGCCUAUCGUAGUCCAGAUUGGAGUCUGCAACUCGACUCCAUGAAGUAGGAAUCGCUAGUAAUCGCGGAUCAGAAUGCCGCGGUGAAUACGUUCCCGGGCCUUGUACACACCGCCCGUCACACCAUGGGAGUUGAUUGCACCAGAAGUGGUUAGCCUAACCUUUUAGGAAGGCGAUCACCACGGUGUGGUUGAUGACUGGGG
rnacentral:rRNA from 1 species